AAGUCGAGCGGAUGACAGGAGCUUGCUCCUGAAUUCAGCGGCGGACGGGUGAGUAAUGCCUAGGAAUCUGCCUGGUAGUGGGGACAACGUUUCGAAGGAACGCUAAUACCGCAUACGUCCUACGGGAGAAAGCAGGGGACCUUCGGGCCUUGCGCUAUCAGAUGAGCCUAGGUCGGAUUAGCUAGUUGGUGAGGUAAUGGCUCACCAAGGCGACGAUCCGUAACUGGUCUGAGAGGAUGAUCAGUCACACUGGAACUGAGACACGGUCCAGACUCCUACGGGAGGCAGCAGUGGGGAAUAUUGGACAAUGGGCGAAAGCCUGAUCCAGCCAUGCCGCGUGUGUGAAGAAGGUCUUCGGAUUGUAAAGCACUUUAAGUUGGGAGGAAGGGCAGUAAAUUAAUACUUUGCUGUUUUGACGUUACCGACAGAAUAAGCACCGGCUAACUCUGUGCCAGCAGCCGCGGUAAUACAGAGGGUGCAAGCGUUAAUCGGAAUUACUGGGCGUAAAGCGCGCGUAGGUGGUUCGUUAAGUUGGAUGUGAAAUCCCCGGGCUCAACCUGGG
rnacentral:rRNA from 1 species